rnacentral:tRNA from 1 species
GCGGGUGUAGCUCAGUGGUAGAGCAUCAGAUUGUGGCUCUGAGGGUCGUGGGUUCAAUCCCCAUCACUCGCCCCA